rnacentral:rRNA from 1 species
UACUGCGGGGGCUAGCGUUGUUCGGAAUUACUGGGCGUAAAGCGCACGUAGGCGGCUUUGUAAGUUAGCGGUGAAAGCCCGGGGCUCAACUCCGGAAUUGCCUUUAAGACUGCAUCGCUAGAAUUGUGGAGAGGUAAGUGGAAUUCCGAGUGUAGAGGUGAAAUUCGUAGAUAUUCGGAAGAACACCAGUGGCGAAGGCGACUUACUGGACACAUAUUGACGCUGAGGUGCGAAAGCGUGGGGAGCAAACAGG